ensembl:lncRNA
AAAUAGGUUGCGAACCGCAGGCCAGGAGGUUUGGCCGAACCCCCACCACCAGGGACCCCCGUCGUCCCCGGGACGGCCGGCCGUGGGCGCGAUGAGCCAGGUGCUGGGGAAGCCGCAGCCGGAGGAGGAGGACGACGAGGAGGAGGAUGAGCUGGUGGGGCUAGCGGACUACGGAGACGGGCCCGACUCCUCGGACGCCGAGCCGGACAGCGGGGCGGAGGAGGGAGGCAACUCUUGGGACUUCCUGACUCCAUGCUUCCAACGCUGGGGAUGUGGGUUUGAUCCCUGGUUGGGGAUCUAAGAUUCGACAUGCCACAAGGUGCUACAAAAAAAAAUUUUUUUUAAGAAAUUUUAAAAAAUGUAAAAAGACAACUUUUAAAUUCUCAAAGAAGGCUUUAAAGCUCUCCUGUGACAGUGGCUUUCCCUGGUUCUGCUGUGACAUGCAAGACAAAUGGGGGUUUUUCACUUCUGACCUAAAGCACCCAGAUUGUGGGUGGACUUUCUCCUCUUGGGGACCUCUGGGGAAGACUCCAGCUCUGUUUCUCCGUGUGUGAAAUAAACUUGAUCACUCUCAGAGUGAUAGUUUGGGGGAAAAAGAAAAGCUCACAAGAAUACUUUUCCUUUCUUGCAGAAGCAUGGGUAGGUCAGAACACAUUAGAGAUAUGUUGUUUGUUUUCUUAUUUUGGCUGGGUCACAUGGCUUUCNNNNNNNNNNNNNNNNNNNNNNNNNUUGAACCUCGGCCAUGGCAGUGAAAGCACAGAGUUCUAACCACUGAAGCACCAGGAAUUCCCAGGAAUGUUAUUAAAUACAUAUGUAAAGGAAAUAUUCAUAUAUGGAAUCAUGUUUUUUAGUUACCUGCCAGUGUGAUGUGAGAGGAUUUGAGAACAAUUUGAUCUUCACAUAUAAAUAAAAAUCACCUUCAAAAGCCUUUCUGCCUUUGAAAAUAUGUAUUCUGAUUGAAUUUAGUUUUCCUUACGAAGUAGUUAGUCAGAGUAAAUCUUCAUCAUUUUUUGCAUAUUCUCUUAUUAACAAUACUACUCAUAUAUUUAAUUCCUGCUUGGGUUGGAAUUUCUUACUGGACUUCUGGGUCUUGAAUGUGCAAAUAGUUCCGCUGAUCAGAAAUAUAAAAGACUACAGAUAAUGAUGCAAAUAGAAGCAAUCCCGAGGCCUCUUCAUAAAACCGUAAGUGUGUAUCAGUAGAACCUUAAGCCCUUGUGGACCCCACAGAAUACUAAUAGCAAAGACAUUCUAACUUCCUCAAGGGUGAUUGAGCCUCUCACUGGUCACAUUCCACAAAAGACCCUCUCGUUACCUAGGCUUGGGCUAAGGGAGAAAGAAAAAAGAACAAUGGGAGUGUGUGUGUGUGUGUGUGUACACUCUAACAGAAACUGAUAGAGGAGAUAAAGGCUCAUGGGCUCCGAUACAUGUAUGGGCAUUUACACAGCUAGUAAGUGGGCAAGCUUGGAUCUGAAUCCCAGUCUGGCACUAACGGGCUUCCCUGAUGGCUCAGUGGUAAAGAAUCUGCCUGCANNNNGAGACCCAGGUUCGAUCUCUGGGUCGGGAAGAUCCCCUGGGGAAAGGAAUGACAACCCACUCCAGUAUUCUUUCCGGAGAAUCCCUUGCACAGAAGAGCCUGGUCGGCUACAGUCCAUGGGGUCACAAGGAGUCAAACAUGACUGAGUGACUAACUCCACUCCACUCAGGCACUAACACAGUAUUUUUUCAACCAUUCCAUUUGCUACCACUAUCCUUUUGUUAAAUCUUUGUUUUAUUUUCCAGUUUUGAGUCUGUUCAAAGGUGUCACCUCUUGGAGAACUUUCCUUAAUAAUAAUAGCUCUUAGUUGUCAGAGACAUCAGAAUUUAGGAAAUGGGUUUCAUACAAUGCCUUGUCCUCCCCAGGAAGUCAGGGUCAACCCUGUCAGAACCUCAGUUCCCAUUUUCCUGAUUUCUGGUCCCUUCUUUGUUGUGAACGUUCCCAGCCCACAGGAUCGGUCAGAUGUGGCCCCCCACGCAGCCCAGCCCCCAAGUCCCUGAUCCAUCUUUCUCUCUCUGUAGUUUUUGACAGGGCUCUGCCACUUCGGGGUUAAGUCAUUAACCUGAAGGUGUUAAAUGCUGACAACGGCCCAGUUAGAUAACUNNNNNNNNNNNNNNNNNNNNNNNNNNNNNNNNNNNNNNNNNNNNNNNNNNNNNNNNNNNNNNNNNNNNNNNNNNNNNNNNNNNNNNNNNNNNNNNNNNNUAAAUGCUGACAACGGCCCAGUUAGAUAACUCCUCCUCAUAAUGCUACCCCUUGGGUGACUGAGUUCCCUGGGAUCCCCAGUGGUCUAGUUACAAAGCUCCGUCUGCUGUUUGUGAAAUUGGGUAUCAGGACCCAGUGGAAGAUAGGUAUGUUCAGUGCCUCUGAUCACAGUGGAUAAGCUUUACUUGGUCAUAAAACUCACCCUCUUGAUACCUAAGUGCUGGCUGUGCCAAAGUCAGAUGUGGAGUUUCUUCUUAAAGUUUCAGUUCACAUUCUGCUCACUUUCUUUUCUUUUUAAAAAAAUAUCUGGCUGCACUGCACAGCAUGCAAGAUCUUAGUUCUGCAACAAGACCCCAGUGGACACAUGGAGUCUUAAGCACUGGACCACCAGGGAAGUCCCAUCAAUCACUUUCAUUUCAUCAUCCCAACCAGUGAAUGUCUAUUGAGUGUUCAUUAUGGUAAACACUGAGGGCUGAGUUUUCACAUCUGACAAAGGAUGAGUGUUAUCAAUUUAAAGAUUAGAGAUGACACUGUGUGCUUUGUAGGUGGUCUGUAAAUGCUAACUCUUAGUGAUAAGAGGUUGGAACAGGUUGGUUUGAGCCAUUUCACUGUGAACAAGGCUCAAACCUCUCCAAUGUGCCCUCACCCUCA